UUGAACGCUGGCGGCAGGCCUAACACAUGCCAGUCGAGCGGAUGAAGGGAGCUUGCUCCUGGAUUCAGCGGCGGACGGGUGAGUAAUGCCUAGGAAUCUGCCUGGUAGUGGGGGAUAACGUCCGGAAACGGGCGCUAAUACCGCAUACGUCCUGAGGGAGAAAGUGGGGGAUCUUCGGACCUCACGCUAUCAGAUGAGCCUAGGUCGGAUUUGCUAGUUGGUGGGGUAAAGGCCUACCAAGGCGACGAUCCGAAACGGGUCUGAGAGGAGGGUCAGUCACACUGGAACUGGAACACCGUCCAUGCUCCUACGGGAGGCAGCAGUGGGGAAUAUUGGACAAUGGGCGAAAGCCUGAUCCAGCCAUGCCGCGUGUGUGAAGAAGGUCUUCGGAUUGUAAAGCACUUUAAGUUGGGAGGAAGGGCAGUAAGUUAAUACCUUGCUGUUUUGACGUUACCAACAGAAUAAGCACCGGCUAACUUCGUG
rnacentral:rRNA from 1 species